UCAUCCCCUGCAUAAUGUGCACUAAGAAACAUCUGCAACCAUAUGAAGAGGCCACAUUCAGAAGAAUAUAUAAAUGUCAUAUCAUUGAAUCAUCUCUGAGCGCUGGUUCAGAUUCCAGAUUCUGCAUUACAGAACAUGAUAACGAUUGAACUUACAGCCAGCAUAGUAGGGCCAACAUGAGAAAUCAAGUUUUGCUUCAGAGGUCAUGUCCUGCACUCAUGACUAAAAUGCUUUAGUCCCUCAAACGAAACAGUGCCUUAUUUAUAAAAACGAUCAAUCAACUCCACCCAAAAGGCAACAGCCCUUGCCAUGUUGCAGUGAGG
rnacentral:lncRNA from 1 species